rnacentral:rRNA from 1 species
CCUACGGGGGGCAGCAGUGGGGAAUAUUGGACAAUGGGGGAAACCCUGAUCCAGCGACGCCGCGGGAGUGAAGAAGUAUUUCGGUACGUAAAGCGCUAGCAGCAGGAAAGAAAAUGACGGUACCUGACUAAGAAGCCCGGGUUAACUACGUGCCAGCAGCCGCGGUAAGACGAAGGGGGCAAGCGUUAUCCGGAUUUACGGGGGGGAAAGGGAGCGUAGCAGGCAGCGCAAGUCUGGAGUGAAAGGCCGGGGACCAACCCCGGAACUGCGCUGGCAACUGUGAAGCUGGAGUGCAGGAGAGGUAAGCGGAAUUCCUGGUGUAGCGGUGCACUGCGUAGAUAUCAGGAGGAACACCGGCGGCGAAGGCGGCUUACUGGACUGUAACUGACGUUGAGGCUCGAAGGCGUGGGGAGCAAACAGGAUUAGAUACCCCUGUAGUC